UAUGACUGUGUUGUCUUUCAGGAGUUUUUCAAUAACUCGCAGGAAACUUCUCCAUAAUUUUACCUGGCACUGAAGUAAGACUGACAAGCUUGUAAUUACCAGGGUCUUCUUUCUUGCCCUUCUUGAAAACUGGGACAUUUACCAGGUUCCAAUUAGUUUGAAGAAAAUAUAUA